rnacentral:sRNA from 1 species
UGACAGCUUCCUUCCGAUCCUUCAUGGACGU